AAUAAGUGCAGUUUUGCACUAUUCACGUUCAACGUUUGACCGUCCGUCUUAUUUGAAAAAUUUGUGAAAAAAUUAAAAACAUUUAGUCACACAUAAAGUACUAUUCAUGUUUUAUCAUCUAAUAGCAAUAAAAAUAAUAAUCAUAAAAAAUUUUCAAAUAAGACGGACGGUCAAACGUUGAACAUGAAUAGUGCAAAACUGCACUUAUU
rnacentral:pre_miRNA from 1 species